AGGUACAACUUCAAUCCUUCAAAUUCCUCUUGACAUUGGUCUAUCCACUGAAAAGGGGACUUCUUUCUUUGAGAUCUAGAAGAAGGGUAGUGCUCUUUCCACUAACCAACACAAGGCUUACCUGUUGUGUAUUGCACAUCUUUAACCAUUCUUGGAGCUUGUAUAUCGAGAAUUGCCUGGACUUAUCUGGAUUUGGCUCAAUACCUCGCCGAGUCAUCAAGAACCCUAGGAAUUUACUGGUUUGCACAGAAAACAUGUACUUCUUAGGGUUUAACCUCAAAUUAAACAUCUUCAUGAUUCCAACUAGCUAGAUCGUUUUAGUAUGAUUCUUGGUAGGGCUGUAAAUGAGUCGAGCGGCUCGAUCAACUUCAAGCUUAAGCCGAGCUCGAGCCUACUCGAUAGUUAAUUGAGUCGAUCUCAAGCCUAAACCUUUUAUGCUGGAUACCCAAAGCCAAAACCCUAAAUAUAAAUAGGCUUGAGCCGCAACAGCAUACCUCCCCUCACUCAGCAGAGACGAUGACGACGUAGCAACAUGUUGGACGCCACUUUUCGCCUACGUAGUAAAGAGCCAGAGAUUGACCUCGCCUCUCCCUACAGCUGACACCGUCUCCCGCCGCCGCAACAGAGUCUGCCUCCCUCCGCCGCACAACAUAGCAAGGAAAAAUUAAAUGAAAAUAAUGAUGCCAAAGAAUGUUGUUCUCAGUCAGAGAGCAAAGAUGAUAUUGAAGGACAUUAUAAGAGAUUCAGAAGACCAUGACCUUGGAAGUGCCAUCUCACAUUUUUUUUAACUGUUUCUUUGGAAACAUCCAAUCUGUGUCUAGCAAAGUUAUUCUAGAAAUCAAAAAUAAGCUGGAGAUCUAAAGAUUUGUAGGUUAUGCUUGAAUGAUUGUUGGAUGGGGUGUUGUUGUUGGAAUGAGUGAAGAUUGAAGAACAUGGUGGAUGUGAAGUUUGUAAAUGUACCAUUGCUACAUGUUAAAUGUUAUAAAUGUAUAAUUGAUACAAGUUAGAAUAUUGGCUAAAUUAUUUGCCACACAUUAGGCUAAGUUUAAAUUUGGAUUAUUAUUUUUUUAAACUGCCUGGACUUACUUCUAAAGCUACCUCAAGACCUGGUACAGAAUGAGAUCAGAAUUAUUCCUUGGUUUGAGCGAUUA